UACGUAGGGGGCAAGCGUUGUCCGGAAUUAUUGGGCGUAAAGAGCGUGUAGGCGGCCAGAUAAGUCCGCUGUGAAAUCUCGAGGCUCAACUUCGAGCUGUCGGUGGAAACUAUCUGGCUAGAGUCCGGAAGAGGAGAAUGGAAUUCCUGGUGUAGCGGUGAAAUGCGCAGAUAUCAGGAAGAACACCCGUGGCGAAGGCGGUUCUCUGGGACGGUACUGACGCUGAGGCACGAAGGCCCAGGGGGAGCAAACGGG
rnacentral:rRNA from 1 species